GGCUCAGCCUGGUAGAGCGCAGGACUCAUAAUCCUGAGGUCGCGGGUUCAAAUCGUCGAAACGCCCGCCCCCGACACCA
rnacentral:tRNA from 1 species